rnacentral:rRNA from 1 species
CUGGCGGUAGGCUUAACACAUGCAAGUCGUGCGAGAAAGUACCUUCGGGUGCGAGUAGAGCGGCGGACGGGUGAGUAACGCGUAGGAAUCUACCUAGUAGAAGGGGAUAGCCCGAGGAAACUCGGAUUAAUACCGUAUACCUCCUUAGGGAGAAAGAGGGCUUAGCUUUGAUGCUCUCGCUAUUAGAUGAGCCUGCGUAAGAUUAGCUUGUUGGUGAGGUAAUGGCUCACCAAGGCGACGAUCUUUAGCUGGUCUGAGAGGACGAUCAGCCACAUUGGGACUGAGACACGGCCCAGACUCCUACGGGAGGCAGCAGUGGGGAAUAUUGGACAAUGGGCGCAAGCCUGAUCCAGCCAUACCGCGUGUGUGAAGAAGGCUUUCGGGUUGUAAAGCACUUUAAGUAAGGAGAAAAAGAUUGUAGUUAAUACCUGCAAUCCUUGAUGUUACUUACAGAAUAAGGACCGGCUAAUUCCGUGCCAGCAGCCGCGGUAAUACGGAAGGUCCAAGCGUUAAUCGGAAUUACUGGGCGUAAAGCGCGCGUAGGUGGUUUUUUAAGUUGGAUGUGAAAGCCCUGGGCUCAACCUAGGAACUGCAUCCAAAACUAGAUGACUAGAGUACGAAAGAGGGAAGUAGAAUUCACAGUGUAGCGGUGGAAUGCGUAGAUAUUGUGAAGAAUACCAAUGGCGAAGGCAGCUUCCUGGUUCUGUACUGACACUAAGGUGCGAAAGCGUGGGUAGCGAACAGGAUUAGAUACCCUGGUAGUCCACGCCGUAAACGAUGACAACUAGCUGUUGGGAGACAAGAUCUUUCAGUGGCGCAGCUAACGCUUUAAGUUGUCCGCC